rnacentral:lncRNA from 1 species
UAUCUGAAAAUUAAGCAGAAGGCCGUGUAUGAUGAAGAAAAACCCUGCUUUUCUGCCUCAGUGUGAAGCAUGCACUGAAUAUCCUCUAUGUGUAAAUGGAAAGCACUGGGAUUGAAGCUGGGGAGUAGAGGUCUGCUUGGAGAGUUGUGCCAUGUGCCUGCUGCAGGCUCAUCCCUGCUGGUUUUAACUGUGCUGACACCGGGCAGUGGAACAUAUUUCUCCCCUCCUCUCAGUGGCUGUGGAUGACUGUCUUUAGGAUUAGUUCUUUAUGGAAGCCACAGCAAUGAACAAGACACAAUCCUGGACCCCAUGAGCUCACAGUGAGUGACAGCAGCCACUACAGUGUUAACGAAAGUUUAAUUCGGAGGCCAAUGGGCUGGGAUGGCCCCAGCACUUUUAGUUCCUAUGAACAACUUAUGAAAUUUUCUGUCUCACCUCUGAAGCCCUAGAGAAGUGCUACACUGCUUGCAGUCUGGUGCUGCCCAAUUUAUGAACUGCUGUCUGUUCAAAUAAACUCCACAGAAUUUUAAUGUGCCUAAGUUGAUCUUUUAACAACAGAAAUGCCCAAACCUCAGGAAAACAAGGAUGGCUCACCCUAGAUAGCCAAGCAGGGCAUGAGACGACGUCCUGUGCAUGGGAGUCACCUAGCUGGUGAGUGAGCAGCUGGAUGUAGACCGUGCAUGCCAGAUUUUGUUUAAGGCUCUCCCAUGUGGGUGUGCAGCACAUGCACUGAUAUGAGCCACAUGGCCUCUUCCUGCCUGCAAAGCUUCCACUUGACACAUUUGCUGGCACUGAGCCAUCCUUGCAUUCCUGAGAUAAACCUUACAUGAUUGAGAGCCAUCACUGUGUUAAAAGUAUGGGCACAUGCAUAUUUAUUAGGUAUACAUAGGCAUACUUCUGUACCUGUAAAUGUCUAAUGUCUUAUUUAAUAUUUUCCAUCUGUUCCCAGCAGUCAAUCUGACCUAUAAUUUUCUUUUCUUAUUCUGUCCUUGGCCUGUUUUGUUACCAAGAAUAUAUCAUUCUCAUGUUAGCCAAGUAGCUUUCCCCUCUUUUGUAUUCCCUGGCACAUACUCACUCACUCUUUCUCUCUCUCUCUCUCAAGGAAAGAGAGAUCUAGUUAUUUAAAAUUAUGGAUUUAUUUACUGGUAGUAAGUUUAUUUGCAUUCUCACUGAAUUGUUCAAUUUUAUUUUUUAGACAAAUUGUCCUUUUUAUCUAGC